AUGAUGGGUUUUUGGUGUUUUGUUAAUGUUGGCGCUAUGAUGCUUAGAGCAUUCACAAUCAAUUUUCUACUCUCUAUAAUUACACUAUAAAUCACUAUAUUUUCUCUCCUAUUUUCAAUUAAACAUUUAUGCCUUUAGCAUUACAUUUUCUCUUCCGAAGCCCUACGAUGGACGCUCAGUUGUUGUGAUGUCAUGCAGGUUAUUAAAAGGUUGAUUACAAGUCGAUCUGUUGGGGGUUGUUUAAGCCCUUUUUCUCUCUUUUGUUUAAGUCUAGCAUCCAUUGUUUGUGCUUGGAUGUACCACUCUUUGAUACAUUAAGCAUAACAGCUAUGGUGCGUCGUAAAUUUUUACGUCACAUCCAUAUUAACCUAUUUAGUAUUUACUUUAGCUCACCACCAAAGGUGUAGCUCAGUGGCCUAAGGCUAAGACCUGGUUCAGUUCUACACAAAUACAGGUUCAACUUCACGGGUUCAAUUUCAAGCCAAUGUCUUGGCCUACUGAGUUAGCUCAUGUCCCUUUAUGUACGUUCGAUUACCUUAAUUUCAGACUGAUGCGUAAAUUUGUUUGGUUAACUUAGCAUAAAAACACGAACAAAGGUCACAUAUGUUCGACUGUGAAUGCUGGUGACAUAUUCGGUUAAAUUUCUUGAUGUUUGUUUGAUUAUAUUAAAAUUAAAAAAUUAAUAAUUAAUAAACCUUUUAUUUAAGUUACUUAAGCUUUAAAUAAUUACGUCUGCUUACGUUUCAACUUGUCAUUUGAAGGAUCGUUAGAGUGUUAGGAGUGAUUAAACACUUAAUUAAGAGUGACAAACUAAAAAAUCAAUCAAUGAGAGUGCACCACAUCAAUAAGUGAAAAGUAUUUAAACUUUGCAGAAAAGUGUCCCCUUAUGUACAAGGUGGUUAAUAAAAUUUUUAUUUUUUAUUUAAAAGUUCAAUGUUUGUUUACAUUCAUUUUUAUUUUUAUUCAUUACAUUUGAGACCAGUAUUCGCAAACUAUUAAGGAAUAACUGAAAAUAUAUGGAUAACGAUAGAGAAUUCAUUACGAAUGCUCUCAGAACCAUAGAUCUAUUUUCAAUUACAGUAAAACAAAAGUAAAAUUAAAAUAAAGAUGGAUCAGAUUUCUGGCUUGGAUUCUCUAAAAAGAGAAAGUAAAAUAGCGCACAGUAUAAUCAGCUUCGAUCAUCUGGGGAAAUAAUCAUCACUUCCAUCGAAAAUUUAAAUUUUACCUAAACCAAAUCG
rnacentral:lncRNA from 1 species